CGGGCCCGCACAAGCAGCGGAGCGUGUGGUUAAUUCGAUGUUACACGAAGAACCUUACCAGGGUUUGACAUGCAAGUGGUAGGAAGCCGAAAGGUGACCGACCCUUCGGGGAGCUUGCACAGGUGCUGCAUGGCUGUCGUCAGCUCGUGUCGUGAGAUGUUCGGUUAAGUCCGCUAACGAGCGCAACCCUCGCUGUGUGUUAUAUGUGUCACACGGGACUGCCGGUCUUAAGCCGGAGGAAGGUGGGGAUGAUGUCAAGUCAGCAUGGCCUUUAUAUCCUGGGCUACACACACGCUACAAUGGCCAACACAAUAGGUUGCUAAGCCGCGAGGUGGCGCCAAUCCAUAAAGUUGGUCUCAGUUCAGACUUGUAGGCUGCAACCCGCCUGCAUGAAGAUGGAGUUGCUAGUAACCGCAGGUCAGCCUAUACCUGCGGUGAAUACGUCCCGGGGCUU
rnacentral:rRNA from 1 species